UCGAUGGCUUUACUGUCUCUUACUUCCAAUCCSUGWMAUUGACCUUCCCGUGAAGAGGCGGGAAUAUGACAAUAAGACGAGAAGACCCUAUGGAGCUUUAAUUAACCGACCCAAAGAGAUCUUGAUAAUCAACCGACAGGGAUAACAUACCUCUACCAUGGGCCGACAAUUUAGGUUGGGGUGACCUCGGAGAAUAAAACAACCUCCGAGUGAUUUAAAUCUAGACUAACUAGUCGAAAGUACUACAUCACUUAUUGAUCCAAAAACUUGAUCAACGGAACAAGUUACCCUAGGGAUAAACAAGCCSCAAWYYUAUUUUAGAGUCCAUAUCGACAAUAGGAU
rnacentral:rRNA from 1 species